GACGAACGCUGGCGGCGUGCUUAACACAUGCAAGUCGAACGAUGACGACCGAGCUUGCUCGGUCUGAUUAGUGGCGAACGGGUGAGUAACACGUGAGCAACCUGCCCUUCACUCUGGGAUAACCUCGGGAAAUCGGGGCUAAUACCGGAUAUGAGCUCCUGUCGCAUGGCGGGUGUUGGAAAGUUUUUCGGUGAAGGAUGGGCUCGCGGCCUAUCAGUUUGUUGGUGAGGUAGUGGCUCAUCAAGGCGAUGACGGGUAGCCGGCCUGAGAGGGCGACCGGCCACACUGGGACUGAGACACGGCCCAGACUCCUACGGGAGGCAGCAGUGGGGAAUAUUGCACAAUGGGCGAAAGCCUGAUGCAGCGACGCCGCGUGAGGGAUGACGGCCUUCGGGUUGUAAACCUCUUUCAGCAGGGAAGAAGCGAAAGUGACGGUACCUGCAGAAGAAGCGCCGGCUAACUACGUG
rnacentral:rRNA from 1 species